GGCAGGGUAGCUCAGCUGGUUAGAGCGCACGACUCAUAAUCGUGAGGUCGCGGGUUCAAGCCCCGCUCCUGCUACCA
rnacentral:tRNA from 1 species